UACGUAGGGGGCAAGCGUUGUCCGGAAUUAUUGGGCGUAAAGAGCGUGUAGGCGGUCCGGUAAGUCAGCUGUGAAAGUCAAGGGCUCAACCCUUGAAUGCCGGUUGAUACUGUCGGGCUAGAGUCCGGAAGAGGCGAGUGGAAUUCCCGGUGUAGCGGUGAAUGCGCAGAUAUCGGGAGGAACACCCAAUGGCGAAGGCAGCUCGCUG
rnacentral:rRNA from 1 species